CACGUAGGGGUGCGAGCGUUAAUCGGAAUUACUGGGCGUAAAGAGCUCGUAGGCGGUGUGUCGCGUCGGCCGUGAAAACCUGCAGCUUAACUGUGGGCUUGCGGUCGAUACGGGCAUCACUGGAGUUCGGCAGGGGAGACUGGAAUUCCUGGUGUAGCGGUGAAAUGCGCAGAUAUCAGGAGGAACACCGGUGGCGGAAGGCGGGUCUCUGGGCCGA
rnacentral:rRNA from 1 species